CGGACGGGUGAGUAAUGUCUGGGAAACUGCCCGAUGGAGGGGGAUAACUACUGGAAACGGUAGCUAAUACCGCAUAACGUCGCAAGACCAAAGGAGGGGACCUUCGGGCCUCUUGCCAUCGGAUGUGCCCAGAUGGGAUUAGCUAGUAGGUGGGUAACGGCUCACCUAGGCGACGAUCCCUAGCUGGUCUGAGAGGAUGACCAGCCACACUGGAACUGAGACACGGUCCAG
rnacentral:rRNA from 1 species